GAUGAACGCUGGCGGCGUGCCUAAUACAUGCAAGUCGAGCGAACAGACGAGGAGCUUGCUCCUCUGACGUUAGCGGCGGACGGGUGAGUAACACGUGGAUAACCUAUCUAUACGACUGGGAUAACUUCGGGAAGCCGGAUCUAAUACCGGAUAAUAUAUUGAACCGCAUGGUUCAAUAGUGAAAUACGGUUUUGCUGUCACUUAUUGAUGGUUCCUCGACGCAUUAGCUAGUUGGUAAGGUAACGGCUUACCAAGGCAACGAUGCGUAGCCGACCUGAGAGGGUGAUCGGCAACACUGGAACUGAGACACGGUCCAGACUCCUACGGGAGGCAGCAGAAGGGAAUCUUCCGCAAUGGGCGAAGGCUUGACGGAGCAACGCCGCGUGAGUGAUGAAGGUCUCGGGAUCGUAAAACUCUGUUAUUAGGGAAGAACAAAUGUGUAAGUAACUAUGCACGUCUUGACGGUACCUAAUCAGAAAGCCACGGCUAACUACGUG
rnacentral:rRNA from 1 species